AUUGAACGCUGGCGGCAGGCCUAACACAUGCAAGUCGAGCGAGCGGCGGACGGGUGAGUAAUGUCUGGGAAACUGCCUGAUGGAGGGGGAUAACAACUGGAAACGGUAGCUAAUACCGCAUACCAUCAGAUGUGCCCAGAUGGGAUUAGCUAGUAGGUGGGGUAAUGGCUCACCUAGGCGACGAUCCAUAGCUGGUCUGAGAGGAUGACCAGCCACACUGGAACUGAUACACGGUCCAUACUCCUACGGGAGACAGCAGUGGGGAAUAUUGCACAAUGGUCGCAAGCCUGAUGCAGCCAUGCCGCGUGUAUGAAGAAGGCCUUCGGGUUGUAAAGUACUUUCAGCGAGUAGGCGUUACUCGCAGAAGAAGCACCGGCUAACUCCGUGCCAGCAGCCGCGUAAUUC
rnacentral:rRNA from 1 species